rnacentral:rRNA from 1 species
CCUACGGGAGGCUGCAGUGGGGAAUAUUGGACAAUGGGCGAAAGCCUGAUCCAGCCAUGCCGCGUGUGUGAAGAAGGCCUUCGGGUUGUAAAGCACUUUCAGUGGGGAAGAAAGCCUUGGGGCUAAUACCCUCGAGGAAGGACAUCACCCACAGAAGAAGCACCGGCUAACUCCGUGCCAGCAGCCGCGGUAAUACGGAGGGUGCGAGCGUUAAUCGGAAUUACUGGGCGUAAAGCGCGCGUAGGCGGUCUGAUAAGCCGGUUGUGAAAGCCCCGGGCUCAACCUGGGAACGGCAUCCGGAACUGUCAGGCUAGAGUGCAGGAGAGGAAGGUAGAAUUCCCGGUGUAGCGGUGAAAUGCGUAGAGAUCGGGAGGAAUACCAGUGGCGAAGGCGGCCUUCUGGACUGACACUGACGCUGAGGUGCGAAAGCGUGGGUAGCAAACAGGAUUAGAUCCCCGUGUAGUC